AGAGAUUUCAAGAGAAACAAAACGAAAUAACAAGAGAAAGAGAGAAGAGAAGAGAAGAGAAACUUAGGCUAGAAACAAGGAAAGAGCUACGAUUUUGGGAGGAGAAAAAGGCAGCCCAAAACGUUACCAAACAGUCCCUAAGUUUCAGCUGCGCUAAAGGAAAUUCCGAGGCAAGUUUUGGCGAGUUUUGGUGAAUUUCGGGAAAGGUUCAAGAGACGACGAGGCGAGCAUAGUUAAGAGUAAUCCGUAAGAGGUACAGAUGAUUGGUUUGCUGAUCCGCUCGCUUAGGACAUCCACCAUGUUGUUCGACAGUGCUUCUUUGUCGGGAGCCCUAUUUUGGUACUGACACUUUCUGUUGUAUAUAUAUAUAUACGUUGUUCAGGGUACGGCGGGGCCUUGUCCCGUCAUAUAACUAGCAUAUCAU